UCACUUCAAAGAAAAUUGAAUAUAUUUUUCCAGGAAAGUCGUCUUCAAACAUUAUCAUAUAGUUGAUUAAGUAUGGAAAAUAUUUUCUAUUGGGACCAUAUACAACAUGACCGUCGCUAUAAAUAAUACACAAGUUGUAUAUAUUCUUGGACAAAUUAAUUUCAUCAAGUGAAGAAAAUGGGAAGGCCAAUUGCUGCUACUAUUGGAGAUGUUACCACGUCCAUCCCGGGGGGCUUAAGUUUGCUUUCUCUCAUUCUUCUAUCCAUCUCUCUCCUAUCAAUGAUAAUAUUUGCUUGUAGCAACUUCUUUAAUACUCGAAGGAGAAGAGGUGGCGAUGAUGGUGGUGCAGGUGGUUGUGCUUGUGGUGGAGGAGGCUGCGGUGGUGGAGGUUGCGGUGGUGGAGAUUGACGUUGUUUGUUGUUAUUUUAUGAGUUGAUUGAUGCUAUUUUUAUAGAUGUGUGAUUUUUGUAGUUCAACUCAAACAUUUGUAAAUAGAGGUGAAUUCAAAUUUUUAUCUCUCCAUGGAUAUAUGCUAGUAAAACUAUAUGCAGAUUGACCUUUUUUAGGUGUGUGAGUAUACUAUUUUAGCAUUUAUUUACUAUAUAUACAUGAUAGAUGGAAAGGACAGCAUGCUUUAAAUACUAUACAACUAUUCAUAAUUUUUUGACUUGUGACUUUAACUAGGCAAUAAAGACAUGAUUAUAUGUUAAAGGAUGCUAAUUAUGCCUACGCGUUGCUACUUCUAAUGAUAGUCUGCAUUGAGUACAAGUUUUUCUCUCAUUUGUUCAAUUAUAAGUGAAGCGAGAGGUUUCUUGGGUAAUAAAGACAUGACUAUAUGUUAAAAGAUGCUAACUAUGCUUACGCGUUGCUACUUCUAAUGAUAGUUUGCAUUGAAUACAAGUUUUCCUCUCGUUUGUCCAAUUGUAAGUGAAGCAAGAGGUUUCCUGGAUAAACCAAGGACAAACACAAGGAAUUUCUUAUCAAACCUAGUUAAUAGCUUAGUCAAUUUCAUGCAGUUUAUUUUUUACAAUAUUUUAUAUUCACAGUAUCGUGAAAGUAAAGUCUAUUAUGUACACUAAGUGAUUAAGUAGAAGGGGGAAUGGAAUGGAAGAACAUGAAAUGUGAACUAACUUGCUAAAAGAAUUAUGCAGGAAGGUCUUCAUUGUGUGAUAUGAGUUAUAAGUUACGUUACGUCUUUGAUACGACAUAGAUAAUAUAGCCAUUUUCUAAUUAAGGUGAGCAACAUAUCUGUACCUAAAUGCCACAUUUGUUCGCAUUUCGAGAUACAAAUACUAAGAAUGUGUUAAACGAUCUAUAUCUAGGUUUCUUUAGUUAUAAGCACAUCAUCACAUUUCCUCUUUUUCUUUAAUUAAGGUGAGCUACCUCUCAGUGCUUAAACGUUGCACUUGUUCACCUAUCGAGAUACAAGUGAUGGAGUAAAAUACACUUGUUAGAUGUUUUUCGUUUACCGUUUAAAAUAGUCCUAUUGCCAAGAAACAACUACAUGUUAUAAUAAAGUGAACUUUAAGAUGAAAAACAGCAUAUGUAAGAAGCUCACUUAUAUGUUUGUUACAUAUCUAAUAUUUUUUCAUAAUUCAUUUGGGAUAUGUUUUUCGUUUUAAAGUUCAUUUUAUUAUAACGUGUAAUUGUUUCUUGGCAAUAGGGCUAUUAUGAUCAUUCGAGGCCAGAAAAAUAUUCAAAAAGGUAAAAAACAAUCGAUAUGAAAAAUAGUGAAUGUAAUUGUAAACAUAUUUAUUCAUUAAUUAAAAGUAUACAUAUAUGGACUAUUUGCAACAUUAUAAAUUUUGGUAAUUUAUAUAUUACAAUAUCCUUUACAAGUCAGAACCACUGAAUGCACGUACUAUGUGAUUAGAUACAUGAGAGAUGUAAU
rnacentral:lncRNA from 1 species